GGAAUAUUGGACAAUGGGCGCAAGCCUGAUCCAGCCAUGCCGCGUGGGUGAUGAAGGCCUUAGGGUCGUAAAGCUCUUUCGCUGGGGAAGAUAAUGACUGUACCCAGUAAAGAAACCCCGGCUAACUCCGUGCCAGCAGCCGCGGUAAUACGGAGGGGGUUAGCGUUGUUCGGAAUUACUGGGCGUAAAGCGCGCGUAGGCGGAUUGGAAAGUUGGGGGUGAAAUCCCGGGGCUCAACCCCGGAACGGCCUCCAAAACUAUCAGUCUAGAGGUCGAGAGAGGUGAGUGGAAUUCCGAGUGUAGAGGUGAAAUUCGUAGAUAUUCGGAGGAACACCAGUGGCGAAGGCGGCUCACUGGCUCGAUACUGACGCUGAGGUGCGAAAGCGUGGGGAGC
rnacentral:rRNA from 1 species